GGUCUGGUGGUCUAGUGGUAUGAUUCUCGCUUAGGGUUCACCCUGGGUUGUUCAAUUCCUGUUCGAUUGAUUGCGAGAGGUCCCGGGUUCAAUCCCCGGCCAGACCC